UACGAAGGGGGCUAGCGUUGCUCGGAAUUACUGGGCGUAAAGGGAGCGUAGGCGGACAGUUUAGUCAGAGGUGAAAGCCCAGGGCUCAACCUUGGAAUUGCCUUUGAUACUGACUGUCUUGAGUACGGGAGAGGUGUGUGGAACUCCGAGUGUAGAGGUGAAAUUCGUAGAUAUUCGGAAGAACACCAGUGGCGAAGGCGACACACUGGCCCGUUACUGACGCUGAGGCUCGAAAGCCAGGGGAGCAAACGGG
rnacentral:rRNA from 1 species